rnacentral:rRNA from 1 species
AGGGCGGAUGCCUUGGCACUAGGAGCCGAUGAAGGACGUGAUAAGCUGCGAUAAGCUUCGGGGAGUUGCACGUAAACUUUGAUCCGAAGAUUUCCGAAUGAGGAAACUCACUUAGAGUAAUGUCUAAGUAUCAUUAAGUGAAUACAUAGCUUAAUGAGGGGAACUCAGGGAACUGAAACAUCUAAGUACCUGAAGGAAGAGAAAGAAAUUCGAUUCCGUAAGUAGCGGCGAGCGAACGCGGAUUAGCCCAAACCAAUAAAGUUUUCUUUAUUGGGGUUGCGGACAUAUCAUAACGAAGAGGUAUCGUAAUUGAAGAGGUUUGGAAAGACCCACCACAGAAGGUAAUAGUCCUGUAUGUUAAACGAGAAGACUUCAGAUAUGAUCCAGAGUACCACGGGACACGUGAAACCCUGUGGGAAGCAGGAGGGACCACCCUCCAAGGCUAAAUACUACCUAGUGACCGAUAGCGUAUAGUACCGUGAGGGAAAGGUGAAAAGAACCCCGGGAGGGGAGUGAAAUAGAACCUGAAACCCUGCACUUACAAGCUGUGGAAGCACAUUUCUUGUGUGACCGCGUACUUUUUGUAGAACGGGCCAACGAGUUACGUUAAGUAGCAAGGUUAAGCACUUAAGGUGCGGAGCCGUAGCGAAAGCGAGUUUUAACUGAGCGUUCAGUUACUUGACGUAGACCCGAAACCGGGCGACCUACCCAUGAGCAGGAUGAAGCGAAAGUAAAAUUUCGUGGAGGUCCGAACCCACGAGCGUUGAAAAGCUCGGGGAUGACUUGUGGAUAGCGGUGAAAUUCCAAUCGAGCCCGGAGAUAGCUGGUUCUCCCCGAAAUAGCUUUAGGGCUAGCCUCAAGGUGAGAGAUACGGAGGUAGAGCACUGAAUGUCCUAGGGGGUAUUGCACCUACCGAAGACUAUCAAACUCCGAAUGCCGUCAUCUUAUACUUGGGAGUCAGACUGUGGGUGAUAAGAUUCAUAGUCGAAAGGGCAACAGCCCAGAUCGUCAGCUAAGGUCCCUAAAUGUAAGUUAAGUGGUAAAGGAUGUGGGAUUGCACAGACAACCAGGAUGUUGGCUUAGAAGCAGCCACUCAUUCAAAGAGUGCGUAAUAGCUCACUGGUCGAGUGAUCCUGCGCCGAAGAUUUCCGGGGCUAAAACUUACUACCGAAGCUACGGCAUCAGUAAUGAUGGGUAGGGGAGCUUCCCAUACGGGUUGAAGCGUGACCGUAAGGACAUGUGGACAGUAUGGGAGUGAGAAUGUUGGCAUGAGUAGCGAGAUGUGGGUGAGAAUCCCACAGGCCGUAAACCCAAGGUUUCCAGGGGAAGGUUCGUCCGCCCUGGGUUAGUCGGGACCUAAGCUGAGGCCGAAAGGCGUAGGUGAUGGACAACAGGUUGAUAUUCCUG